ACGAACGCUGGCGGCGUGCCUAAUACAUGCAAGUCGAACGCUUCUUUUUCCACCGGAGCUUGCUCCACCGGAAAAAGAGGAGUGGCGAACGGGUGAGUAACACGUGGGUAACCUGCCCAUCAGAAGGGGAUAACACUUGGAAACAGGUGCUAAUACCGUAUAACAAUCGAAACCGCAUGGUUUUGAUUUGAAAGGCGCUUUCGGGUGUCGCUGAUGGAUGGACCCGCGGUGCAUUAGCUAGUUGGUGAGGUAACGGCUCACCAAGGCGACGAUGCAUAGCCGACCUGAGAGGGUGAUCGGCCACAUUGGGACUGAGACACGGCCCAAACUCCUACGGGAGGCAGCAGUAGGGAAUCUUCGGCAAUGGACGAAAGUCUGACCGAGCAACGCCGCGUGAGUGAAGAAGGUUUUCGGAUCGUAAAACUCUGUUGUUAGAGAAGAACAAGGAUGAGAGUAACUGUUCAUCCCUUGACGGUAUCUAACCAGAAAGCCACGGCUAACUACGUGCCAGCAGCCGCGGCAAUACGUAGGUGGCAAGCGUUGUCCGGAUUUAUUGGGCGUAAAGCGAGCGCAGGCGGUUUCUUAAGUCUGAUGUGAAAGCCCCCGGCUCAACCGGGGAGGGUCAUUGGAAACUGGGAGACUUGAGUGCAGAAGAGGAGAGUGGAAUUCCAUGUGUAGCGGUGAAAUGCGUAGAUAUAUGGAGGAACACCAGUGGCGAAGGCGGCUCUCUGGUCUGUAACUGACGCUGAGGCUCGAAAGCGUGGGGAGCAAACAGGAUUAGAUACCCUGGUAGUCCACGCCGUAAACGAUGAGUGCUAAGUGUUGGAGGGUUUCCGCCCUUCAGUGCUGCAGCUAACGCAUUAAGCACUCCGCCUGGGGAGUACGACCGCAAGGUUGAAACUCAAAGGAAUUGACGGGGGCCCGCACAAGCGGUGGAGCAUGUGGUUUAAUUCGAAGCAACGCGAAGAACCUUACCAGGUCUUGACAUCCUUUGACCACUCUAGAGAUAGAGCUUCCCCUUCGGGGGCAAAGUGACAGGUGGUGCAUGGUUGUCGUCAGCUCGUGUCGUGAGAUGUUGGGUUAAGUCCCGCAACGAGCGCAACCCUUAUUGUUAGUUGCCAUCAUUUAGUUGGGCACUCUAGCAAGACUGCCGGUGACAAACCGGAGGAAGGUGGGGAUGACGUCAAAUCAUCAUGCCCCUUAUGACCUGGGCUACACACGUGCUACAAUGGGAAGUACAACGAGUCGCAAAGUCGCGAGGCUAAGCUAAUCUCUUAAAGCUUCUCUCAGUUCGGAUUGUAGGCUGCAACUCGCCUACAUGAAGCCGGAAUCGCUAGUAAUCGCGGAUCAGCACGCCGCGGUGAAUACGUUCCCGGGCCUUGUACACACCGCCCGUCACACCACGAGAGUUUGUAACACCCGAAGUCGGUGAGGUAACCUUUUGGAGCCAGCCGCCUAAGGUGGGAUAGAUGAUUGGGGUG
rnacentral:rRNA from 1 species